rnacentral:tRNA from 1 species
UACCCCGAAAAUGUUGGACACGCCCAACCUCUGCUA